AACGAACGCUGGCGGCAGGCCUAACACAUGCAAGUCGAGCGGACCCUUCGGGGUUAGCGGCGGACGGGUGAGUAACGCGUGGGAAUAUGCCCUUCUCUACGGAAUAGACCUGGGAAACUGGGGGUAAUACCGUAUACGCCCUUUGGGGGAAAGAUUUAUCGGGGAAGGAUUAGCCCGCGUUGGAUUAGGUAGUUGGUGGGGUAAUGGCCUACCAAGCCGACGAUCCAUAGCUGGUUUGAGAGGAUGAUCAGCCACACUGGGACUGAGACACGGCCCAGACUCCUACGGGAGGCAGCAGUGGGGAAUCUUAGACAAUGGGGGCAACCCUGAUCUAGCCAUGCCGCGUGAGUGAUGAAGGCCUUAGGGUUGUAAAGCUCUUUCAGCUGGGAAGAUAAUGACGGUACCAGCAGAAGAAGCCCCGGCUAACUCCGUG
rnacentral:rRNA from 1 species